rnacentral:rRNA from 1 species
CCUACGUGAGGCUGCAGUGGGGGAUAUUGCACAAUGGGGGGAACCCUGAUGCAGCGACGCCGCGUGGGUGAAGGAGCGUUUCGGCGCGUAAAGCCCUAUCGGCAGGGAAGAAGAUGACGGUACCUGACCAAGAAGCCCCGGCUAACUACGUGCCAGCAGCCGCGGUAAUCCGUAGGGGGCAAGCGUUAUCCGGAUUUACUGGGUGUAAGGGGGGCGCAGACGGCAAUGCAAGCCAGGAGUGAAAGCCCGGGGCCCAACCCCGGGACUGCUCUUGGAACUGCAUGGCUUGAGUACAGGAGGGGCAGGCGGAAUUCCUGGUGUAGCGGUGAAAUGCGUAGAUAUUAGGAGGAACACCGGUGGCGAAGGCGGCCUGCUGGACUGUGACUGACGUUGAGGCCCGAAGGCGUGGGGAGCAAACAGGAUUAGAUACCCUAGUAGUC